rnacentral:rRNA from 1 species
AGUGGGAUGACGUCAAGUCAGCAUGGCCUUUAUAUCCUGGGCUACACACACGCUACAAUGGGAAGGGACAAUAGGUUGCGAAGCCGCGAGGCGGAGCCAAUCCAGCAAAACUUCCCUCAGUUCAGAUUGCAGGCUGCAACCCGCCUGCAUGAAGUUGGAGUUGCCAGUAAACGCAGGUCAGCCAUACUGCGUUGAAUACGUUCCCGGGGCUU